UUCUUCAAGUUUUUUGUCUAAUGAAUCAAAAGUCUUGCACAUUCAAAGAAAAUUGCUCACUUCCACAUUGCAAAAUAAAGUGGAUA